rnacentral:rRNA from 1 species
AUUGAACGCUGGCGGCAGGCCUAACACAUGCAAGUCGAACGAGUGGCGGACGGGUGAGUAAUGUCUGGGAAACUGCCCGAUGGAGGGGGAUAACUACUGGAAACGGUAGCUAAUACCGCAUACCAUCGGAUUUGCCCAGAUGGGAUUAGCUAGUAGGUGGGGUAACGGCUCACCUAGGCGACGAUCCCUAGCUGGUCUGAGAGGAUGACCAGCAAUACUGGAACUGAGUCACGGUCCAGACUCCUACGGUAGGCAGCAGGGGGGAAUAUUUGACAAUGGGCGCAAGCCUGAUGCAACCAUGCCGGGUGUAUUAAGAAAGCCUUCGGGGUGUAAAGUACUUUCAGCGAGGAGGCGUUACUCGCAGAAGAAGCACCGGCUAACUCCGUGCCAGCAGCCGCGGUAAUUC